rnacentral:snRNA from 1 species
AAAUACGGGCGAGAGACCGA